GACGAACGCUGGCGGCGUGCUUAACACAUGCAAGUCGAACGGAAAGGCCCUGCUUUUGUGGGGUGCUCGAGUGGCGAACGGGUGAGUAACACGUGAGUAACCUGCCCUUGACUUUGGGAUAACUUCAGGAAACUGGGGCUAAUACCGGAUAGGAGCUCCUGCUGCAUGGUGGGGGUUGGAAAGUUUCGGCGGUUGGGGAUGGACUCGCGGCUUAUCAGCUUGUUGGUGGGGUAGUGGCUUACCAAGGCUUUGACGGGUAGCCGGCCUGAGAGGGUGACCGGCCACAUUGGGAAUGGGAUACGGCCCAGACCCCUACGGGAGGCAGCAGUGGGGAAUAUUGAACAAGGGGCGGAAGCCUGAUGAAGAAACGCCGCGUGCGGGAUGACGGCUUUCGGGUUGUAAACCGCUUUCGCCUGUGACGAAGCGUGAGUGACGGUAAUGGGUAAAGAAGCACCGGCUAACUACGU
rnacentral:rRNA from 1 species